rnacentral:rRNA from 1 species
UACAGAGGGGGCAAGCGUUGUUCGGAAUUACUGGGCGUAAAGGGCGCGUAGGCGGCCUUCUAAGUCGAACGUGAAAUCCCCGGGCUCAACCUGGGAACUGCAUCUGUGACUGCAUCGCUGGAGUGCGGCAGAGGGGGAUGGAAUUCCGCGUGUAGCAGUGAGAUGCGUAGAUAUGCGGAGGAACACCGAUGGCGAAGGCAAUCCCCUGGGCCUGCACUGACGCUCAUGCACGAAAGCGUGGGGAGCAAACAGG